rnacentral:snRNA from 1 species
GGACAUGAGGGUGAUCUGGUUGUGACAUCUGUCACCCCAUUGAUCACCAGGACUGCUGUGGGCUGAUCUGGAUGGCUAGGCAGAUCCCUUUGUUCCCACAGUGCUUCAUGUGUGUCCUGCCAGAAGCUGCACAUUCAGGCAAAGAGGACAAAGAGCCCCAACAGAGGAGGACCAUUCCUUGGCCAAGGGCACGUGAGUAGCUGCUUUCCCCUUCUAGAACCUCCAAACGAGCUUGCAGUAAUUAACACAUUGUCUAUUGUUGUCUUCAUAGUAACUCAGAGUACAAGAUCUAGGCAUGAUUUGUUGUCCAAACAAUAUUAGCACAAACUUUUGUUU